AAAGGAAUUCGACGGGACCCCGCACAAGCGGUGGAUCAUGUUGUUUAAUUCGAUGAUACGCGAAGAACCUUACCAGGUCUUGACAUCCCCCGCGAUGCUUUAGAGAUAAAGCGGAGGUAUUCGGGGAGACAGGUGGUGCAUGGUUGUCGUCAGCUCGUGUCGUGAGAUGUUGGGUUAAGUCCCCGCAACGAGCGCAACCCCUAUUGCUAGUUACCAUCAUUAAGUUGGGGACUCUAGCGAGACUGCCAGUGAUAAACUGGAGGAAGGUGGGGAUGACGUCAAAUCAUCAUGCCCCUUAUGACCUGGGCUACAAACGUGAUACAAUGGCUGGAACAAAGGGAUGCGAAGCAGUGAUGUGGAGCGAAACCCAUAAAAACAGUCUCAGUUCGGAUUGAAGUCUGCAACUCGACUUCAUGAAGUCGGAAUCGCUAGUAAUCGCGGAUCAGAACGCCGCGGUGAAUACGUUCUCGGGGUUU
rnacentral:rRNA from 1 species